rnacentral:misc_RNA from 1 species
AAACUAGUCUUCGGUAGGGGGAGACCCCCGCCGUGUAAGCUCACUAGUCACCCUUGAAUAAACUACCUUUGUUGCUUUGGCGGGCCGCCUUCUGGCCAGCGGCUUCGGCUGCUGCGUGCCCGCCAGAGGACCACAACUCUUGUUUUUAGUGAUGUCUGAGUACUAUAUAAUAGUUAAAACUUUCAACAACGGAUCUCUUGGUUCU